ACGUAGGGGGCAAGCGUUGUUCGGAAUUACUGGGCGUAAAGGGCAUGUAGGCGGUUUAGUAAGCUUGGCGUGAAAGACCGCAGCUCAACUGUGGGGUUGCGUUGAGUACUGCUGAACUUGAGUUACGUAGAGGGAGGUAGAAUUCCUGGUGUAGGGGUGAAAUGUGUAGAGAUCAGGAGGAAUACCGAUGGCGAAGGCAAGCUUCUGGACUAUAACUGACGCUGAGGUACGAAAGUGUGGGGAUCAAACAG
rnacentral:rRNA from 1 species